rnacentral:miRNA from 1 species
UUCAAAGUUCAUGGACCUAAU